UCCAAUUGAGUCAACUGCUUUGGAAAAUUUCCCAAAAACCAAAACGGUGACGUACGAUCUGAACCCAGAAAGGUCUCUAGUGUCCCCUCUCACAUGCACACAGUGUGGGUGUGUGUGUGUGUGUUUUGACUUUCUGGAUUUUCUUUCAGAUGAAAAAUUACUAACAAAACCUUUUAAAAUAAAAAGUUCAGUCUGUACGUUAGAUCUGAAACAGACCCCUCCCACUUUUUUCUAUGUACGCUGAAAUUACCAUUUCGCCCCUGUCCAUCUAUUCAUAUUACCACCUUUUUAUCAUAUCUAUCAUAUCUAAUAAGUUCCAAACAAACCAUCCUCGUUCUUCCACAAUGACGUCAAAAUAGUACAAUUUGCAAAAACUACCAAUUAUCUUUUCAAACUAUAAUAGCUUCCCGAUUUUCACUACAAACAUACCUUUUUUUUACGAUUUUCUAAAUUACUUUAGAUAUGCACAGUACAUUACGAUUUUCUAAAUUACUUUAGAUAUGCACAGUACAUUACGAUUUUCUAAAUUACUUUAGAUAUGCACAGUACAUCCAAUAUAAAAUAUCGGAUGACUAUCGAAUGACUCGUGUAUGACAUAAUACACGAGUCAUCGGUAAAUGUAUGUAUUUAUCAUCUGAUAUUCAUAUCGGAUGACAGAUACAGUUAUGUCAAGAGAUAGGUGUGA
rnacentral:lncRNA from 1 species